AUUGAACGCUGGCGGCAUGCCUUACACAUGCAAGUCGAACGGCAGCACGGGAGCAAUCCUGGUGGCGAGUGGCGAACGGGUGAGUAAUAUAUCGGAACGUGCCCAGUAGUGGGGGAUAGCCCGGCGAAAGCCGGAUUAAUACCGCAUGAGACCUGAGGGUGAAAGCGAGGGAUCGCAAGACCUCGCGCUAUUGGAGCGGCCGAUAUCAGAUUAGCUAGUUGGUGGGUAAAGGCCUACCAAGGCAACGAUCUGUAGUUGGUCUGAGAGGACGACCAGCCACACUGGGACUGAGACACGGCCCAGACUCCUACGGGAGGCAGCAGUGGGGAAUUUUGGGACAAUGGGCGCGAAGCCUGAUCCAGCAAUGCCGCGUGCAGGAAGAAGGCCU
rnacentral:rRNA from 1 species